rnacentral:lncRNA from 1 species
CGUGCCCUUGUUCUGCAUAUUUAUUCGGUUGCUUGUGCGAACGUUGAAGAGAAGAAUUAACUCACAUCGAUCUCGUCAUGUCCAACAUUGCGAACGACGUCGAACGUAAGAUGAAGGCCUCUCUGUGAUCUCCUCUGGGCUACCCGGUUACUAGGACUCAUGCUGCCCUUGAAGAAAACAAGACAUCAGCAGCCCCAGCCAGUAAACAUGCGAAGCCGAGCACAAGAAGAAAAUUAAUUAAAACAAAGCAGACACACCCGAUCAUUGUCAUUACGUGUAAUAAGAAAACUUAACAUAGGACUGCGCCUCCACAAGUGGGAAGGUGACGUGCCAGAACCGGAAGGCAUGGAUGCCAGCUCUAUAUACGUACAGUACACAGAUAUUGAGCAGGUGUUACCCAGUCAUGGUACCUGUUGGCUAGAUUGCGCUCUCCAGGAUCAGCAAUUGCCACGGCUGUAGCUUCGGCAGAGUGGCUAUAAUAUAGAAUUGUGGACUGCCUAUCUUUUGGUCAUAAGUUCGAAUCCUCACGGCACAAUGAGAACUUUCUUUAUUUGCAA